CAGAACAUAGCGCAGCUUGGUAGCGCAGUGGUUUUGGGAACCACAGGUCGCAGGUUCAAAUCCUGCUGUUCUGA
rfam:Monoraphidium neglectum strain SAG 48.87 mitochondrion, whole genome shotgun sequence.